CCAAACACACAGUUCGUGUGUCUGGGAGCGAUCGAACAAGCAGGAGGGAGGGGAAACCCUAGCUCAAGAAAUCAAGCAAUCCAACUCAAGAUCAUAAAUUAAUUCAGUGCAUGAUCCCUAAAUUGUGAUUAGCUAACCCUAAUCUCUUGAGUGGCGUGAAAGAAGAAGGUACAAGCACUAAGCAAGCGGAAGGGGCACAAGAUCGAGGAAAAGCACCUCUAUAGGCGAUUUGGAGCUAUGGGACGAGCACAUGUUCAAGCCUUACGAUACCAAACGCUUCCGCAACUUAUAUGCAUACUUUUGGGUCCAUGUUUUGCUACUUGUUAGACUUUGUCGAAAUGUUUUAGAAUUAAAAACUUGUUACUUUUGUUGGAAUGGUUUUUAUGUAAAAUGGGUCGUAGGUGAACGUUGUAUGUUAUGUUAAAAACAGGGGGUAUGUUCGUUUUACAAACGGGUCAUGCCCAAAUUUUGUAAAAAUUUCUAUUAAGUGUCAAAGUUGAAUUUCGAUGCUACGGAAAAAUCUUGUUUAUGUAGUUAAUCUAUCAUUUUCGAAAAGCGGUCCUUACAGAUAUGUUAGUGGUUUUAUGUAUACUUAACUUAUAAAAGUAACCUAUAAAACUAUUGUAGGAAAUGAAAGAUCAAGGGGUGGGUGAAGACCGGUUGCUGCUACUUAAAGGCGUCAGCAGGGCUUUUGAGGCCAGGUGUUCUCACAGCUCUACUGGGUGUCAGUGGUGCUGGUAAACUACUCUCAUGGAUGUGUUAGCGGGUUGAAAAAAAGACGGGUAUAUUGAAGGCGAUGUUAAGAUUUCUGGGUAUCCAAAGGAAAAAGAAACAUUUGCUCGAAUUUUCAGUUAUUGUGAGCAAAACGACAUCCAUUCACCUCAUGUACCAGAUGUGGGUCUCAAUUUUGUGGUGUAUGAAUCUUUAAAGAUUGGUUGGUUAAAUCAAGACCAUUUGGGCUAGCCGAGGACGUUGAGUUGAAUUUGACAACCAAACGCCAACUAGGGAUGAGAUCGGUACCAACCGGUACCGGUACCAAAAAUCCCAAACAUUUGGGUACCGGUACCUACCGGUAUUUGAAGGUAAAAACCGGUACCGAAAAUCGAAUCAGUUCGGGAAAUUUGGUACCGGUACCCGGUACCAUUUGCUCAUCCCUACCGCCAACAUAGUGGUUCGCGUGGGUUUGGAGGAGGCCGAGUCCUAAGUCUUGCGUGUUGGUAAGACCAGAUCUAUUAUUCUGUUAUGAGGUUUGGUGAUAUGUACAUGCUAUAUCUCAAUAUACUACUCUGGCAUGUCUUUGCCAGACCUCUUGUGAU